GUCCACGCAGCCCCUGAACCAAAAGAUGACAAAGUUUUCAACGUUACGAUGACAAUGGUGAAAGUCGGGGUAAUAAACAUGGAUGUAAACGCAGUUUGCAGAGCUGCUGGAUAUGUGACUCCGGGAGAACUUGCGGCGUACACCACCACUACCGAAAAAAGCGUGACGAAGAAAACCAAAAGCGAUUCGGGAAAGGGAAGCGAACCCACAACAACGACCGAACAUUAUACAACA